GGUACCUGCGGAAGGAUUCACUUAAUGAUUGGCCUAACGGCCUUAUCAACAUAAUCCCUCACCUCUGUGAACCGUUGACCUCCGGGUCUACAUAACAAACAUCAGUGUAAAGAACGUCUUUAUAUUUUAACAAAAUAAAACUUUCAACAACGGAUCUCUUGGCUCUCGCAUCGAUGAAGAACGCAGCGAAAUGCGAUAAGUAAUGUGAAUUGCAGAAUUCAGUGAAUCAUCGAAUCUUUGAACGCACCUUGCGCCUUUUGGUAUUCCGAAAGGCAUGCCUGUUUGAGUGUCAUGAAAUCUCAAUCCCCCCGGGUUUUCUGAACCCGAGGUGGACUUGGACAUGGGUGUCUGCCGUCUCGUACGGCUCGCCUUAAAUGACUCAGUGGGAUCUUCAGCAUCCGUGGCAGACGUAAUAAGUUUCGUCUCGUCCCUUGCUGUGAGGACCGCUCAUAACCUGCCAUCGCGCACCACUUUUGACUCUGACCUCAAAUCAGGUAGGACUACCCGACUGAACUUAAGCAUAUCAAUAGG
rnacentral:rRNA from 1 species